AAUUACACUGAUGGUAUCCCAGCUGUGUUGCUGUGGAACUUUCUUCCUUGUUCCCUGUCUGCCCUGCAGCACACAACAGCAUUUCCAAAAGGCCAGUGAGUGAGAAAAGCUUCUCCUGGGCCAUUUGGAGAAAUGAGUGCAGCUGUUUGUUCACAAAACAGCAGCAUUGCAGUACAGAGCCCAUGGAAGUACCUGGCUUGCUGGAUUUCAGUAUGAAUGGAGAUGGGUGAUGAAUAGGAGCCACAAAUCACAAAGUUAUGUUACACAGAGAAG